CCUACCCACAUAAAUGAGCUGUCAUUGGUUGGGAGGUUUUAAUUUACUUAAUUUGUUUACACAACAGUAAUAAGGUGAACUAGUUCAGAAAGGAAACACAAUUUCGAGAAAAGCAUUCAGUAACAUUUUGCCUAUGUUUCAACCUGUCAAAAAAAGAACUCACGACUUGUAGGAAACUUCAUUUACUAUUGCACCUCAGAG